GGGAGCUGGGCCAGCGGCUGUCUGUCGGCACAGCAGUGACUCAGACAAGACAGCCUGGGGCCCCGGCGGCGCUCCUGGUGUGCAGGCCCCCGCGGCGGCUCUGUCUCACUCCAGCCCACGCUGGAAAACAGCCUUGCUCCCACUCGUCUGGCCCAGCUCGCCCUGCCAGACUGGAUUGGUCCCCGCCUGUGCCACCGUCCUCCUGCUGGGCCCGAGCCUCAA